CACUAAUAAAAGUAUAGCUGAUUAUUAUUUUAACCACUAAGAUCGUCCAGCCAGAUGCUUUUAGUACAGCUGAGGUCGUCUUUAAAGCACAGAGGAGAUCGGUCUGUUGCAGUAGCAGCACCCAGACUCUGGAAUAACUUACCACUCGAUAUUCGUAUUUCAGAGUUUAUACAGUGUCUCAAACUGCGUCUUAAAACUCACUUUUUUACGUUAGUUUUUAAUCCAAGUUCAAUUUGAGUACCAUCAGGUUUGUUUUGUUUUUAUGUUAAAUAUGUUGUUGUUGCCUCAUCUCAUGUCUUCUUUUUCUAUUGUUCAUAACUAAUUGUGAAGUACUUUGGUAACUUUGUUGCUUUUAAAUGUGCUAUAGAAAUAAAAUUGAUAUUUUUAUUAAUAUAUAUUCGACUAUUAAAAACGAUAUUCAACAUGCUACGAUGUCAUUUGAAGGCGUGUAAAUUCCAGUGUUAACUGUAAAACUACAGAGUGCCCGUUCUUAUUUAGAAGCUGUACAGAAGCCACGGUGAAGCCUGUCCUACAGCAGCUGUCAGAGGAGCUGAGCAGGCAGAAACUGGACCCACCGGGGACCGGUGCAGUUUGGGUCAGCUGGCAACGAUGGCAGAUGAAGAUCUGAUUCCUGGUUGCUGAAACUAGUUUUGGGUACUUUGUGAUGUUCCCCCUCUGGCAGGUCCAGACUCUCGUCUGUGCUCUGAACAACAUUUCAGAGUGCCUGGCCUUCUUGAGGUCUCUGAGCAGGAUCCUGGACGCUGCAUCAUCUGGUCUGCAGCAGUAUGUUCUGGACACUCUGGUGAAGAGAGGAGCUGAGCUGUCAUCUGAUCACCAUCUGGGGCUCUGUGGACUUGAGUUACCUGAAACCUGAAGGAUUCUCUCAUUGUCUGCUGCAACCUAAGUCCAGGCUGAAAACCAGAGGUGAUCGUGCCUUUGCUAUUGCAGCUCCUCAACUGUGGAACAAUCUCCUUAUUGCCAUUCGCUCUUCUGAGUCUAUUCAGUCUUUUAAAUCUCGUUUAAAGACUCAUCUUUUUACUCUGGAUCUGACUUAAGAUAGUUUGACUAUCAUU
ensembl:lncRNA